rnacentral:lncRNA from 12 species
UAGGAAACUCUUGACUUGAAAGCUGUGUCAUAAUCAAGGGACUGAGAUUGUGAUCUUUCCAAAGAAAGCCUCUGGCUGUGCUGUUGACUCUCCAGUGGUUUCUCCAAGUACCCACAUUUCCCAACAUCAUCUAGCCCGGAUUCUGAUCUGGCACCUCCUGAUUGGCGCCCUCUGCCUAUAUAAGGUCAGGAUGUGCAACGCUGGAGUCAGAGUCCUACCUUCUCCUGAGCUCUGACGCUUUCCUCUCUGUGCUCCCUGCUGAUCCAUUCACCAGCAUGAAGGUCUUGGCGUUGAUGGUCCUGGUGGCAGUCUCCACCUUCCUGGUCUCAGGCCAGGAUACAACAAGUGCUCCAUCUGAUAGCUCUACUGCUGCAGUGGUGGCAUUAGAGGCAACUGAAAUUAGGAGGAAGAGAUCCAGCUGAGACACUUAACUCUACCCCAGGAACCCAGAUUUGUACCUCUACCCAAGUUGGAGGCACAGUCCUCCUUCUGAAUUCAUCUCUGCAAAUGUCAACAACUCGGUCAUACCCUUAGCCUGGCUGCCUACUUUCCUUUGGCCUCAUUCUUCCCAGCCCUGCCCAUGGUGCAACAGAAAUAAUUUGGGGUUUCCCUAUAAGGACUGUAGUCCAAGAGAGGAGACAAGCUAAUACUUUCUCCCAGAGGUGAGCUUAAAAUACCAAACCCAUAUGUAUUCCUAUUCACAGGGAUCCUGACUCAGAGACAACAAGCAACCCCGUAGUGGACUGACUUUCUAGGGCCUU